rnacentral:rRNA from 1 species
UGGGGAAUCUUGCACAAUGGGCGAAAGCCUGAUGCAGCAACGCCGCGUGCGGGAAGAAGGCCCUAGGGUUGUAAACCGCUUUCAGCAGGGAAGAAGAUGACGGUACCUGUAGAAGAAGGUGCGGCCAACUACGUGCCAGCAGCCGCGGUGACACGUAGGCACCAAGCGUUGUCCGGAUUUAUUGGGCGUAAAGGGCUCGUAGGCGGUUCGGUAAGUCGGGUGUGAAAACUCUGGGCUCAACCCAGAGCCGCCACCCGAUACUGCUGUGACUCGAGUGCGGUAGGGGAGCGGGGAAUUCCUGGUGUAGCGGUGAAAUGCGCAGAUAUCAGGAGGAACACCAGUGGCGAAGGCGCCGCUCUGGGCCGUGACUGACGCUGAAGAGCGAAAGCGUGGGUAGCAAACAGGAUUAGAUACCCCCGUAGUCC